rnacentral:rRNA from 1 species
ACAGGCUUAACACAUGCAAGUCGAGGGGUAGCAGGGUAGCAAUACCGCUGACGACCGGCGCACGGGUGAGUAACACGUAUCCAACCUUCCCAUAACUCGGGGAUAGCCUUUCGAAAGAAAGAUUAAUACCCGAUAGUACUUUAUUAAGGCAUCUUAAGAAAGUUAAAGAUUUAUUGGUUAUGGAUGGGGAUGCGUUCCAUUAGAUAGUUGGUGAGGUAACGGCUCACCAAGUCUUCGAUGGAUAGGGGUUCUGAGAGGAAGGUCCCCCACAUUGGUACUGAGACACGGACCAAACUCCUACGGGAGGCAGCAGUGAGGAAUAUUGGUCAAUGGGCGAGAGCCUGAACCAGCCAAGUAGCGUGAAGGAUGACGG